ensembl:lncRNA
CUCUGACCUCCACAAGUGCAUGCAUGCAUAAGCACAAGCACGCACACACACACACACACACACCACACACCACACACACACACACACACACACACACACACAUAUACCACACACACAAUAUACCACACACACUCACACACACAUACACCACACUCACACAUACACCACACACACUCACAGUAUACCACACAUACUCACACACACAUACACCACACACACAAUUCACACACACUCACACCACACACACACACACACUCACCACAUAUACACUCACACAUACACCACAAUACUCACAAUAUACCACACAUACUCACAAUAUACCACACACACAUACACCACACACACUCACACACACUCAUACCACACACACACACACACACACACACACACACACACACACACACACAAUAUCCACAGUCUUUACCAGUGUCCAGGGAUUCACCCUUUAGGGUUAGGGCUAGUGUAAGGGCAGCUUGCUAUUGUUUGGGUGCCAGGCAUGCACUACCACUUUUUACCUGGGUUCCGGGGAUCUGGGCUUGUCAGGCAAGCACUUUACCCACUGUGUCCACUCGCAGUCCCAUUGCUGUUUCCUUUCUGCACUCAGAAUCAUCCAGCUUAAUGGCCAUCCUGCCAGGGGUGCUUGUGAUGGUGUUAGUCCCUGUAUUACUGCCCAGAGUGUAUGUUUACAUGGCAACGAGAACUACCACAGCGAGGAGGAGGAGGAGGGGGGAGAAACUGUUGAGACGAAAUAGACAUAGUCUGGAGGACACAGGUGAGAACCAGCCCUGGGGGCCUGCAAGUCCUGGUGAAGAGGUGAGUCCUCCUCCAACGUGGGUUUCCUUGCUCUCUCCUCAGAUGUUCCAGAGCCUUCAUUCAAAGCCACUGAGUUCUGACUUGUCCUCAAAC